rnacentral:rRNA from 1 species
UACCAGACUCCUACGGGAGGCAGCAGUGAGGAAUAUUGGUCAAUGGGCGGGAGCCUGAACCAGCCAAGUCGCGUGAGGGAAGACGGUCCUAUGGAUUGUAAACCUCUUUUGUCGGGGAGCAAAGAGAGUCACGUGUGGCUCAUUGAGAGUACCCGAAGAAAAAGCAUCGGCUAACUCCGUGCCAGCAGCCGCGGUAAUACGGAGGAUGCGAGCGUUAUCCGGAUUUAUUGGGUUUAAAGGGUGCGCAGGCGGAGGUGCAAGUCAGUGGUCAAAUUGCGGGGCUCAACCCCGUCGUGCCGUUGAAACUGAUGUUCUUGAGUGGGCGAGAAGUAUGCGGAAUGCGUGGUGUAGCGGUGAAAUGCAUAGAUAUCACGCAGAACUCCGAUUGCGAAGGCAGCAUACCGGCGCCCAACUGACGCUGAAGCACGAAAGCGUGGGUAUCGAACAGGAUUAGAUACCCUUGUA